CAGCGGCGGUUACAGCAGACCAUAAAGGAGCAGGCACUGCUGAACGCACACGUGACACAGGUGACAGAGUCACUAAAACAAGUCCAGCUAGAGCAGGACGAAUAUGCUAAACACAUAAAAGGAGAGAGGGCCCGGCAGCAGGAGAGGAUGUGGAAAAUGUCGGUGGAGGCUCGCACAUUGAAGGAAGAGAAGAAGCGUGACAUACAUCGGAUACAGGAGCUGGAGAGAAGCUUCUCUGAACUGCAAAACCAGAUGGUGACAUGGGAGGCAGACACCAAGUUCAGGGGUCUCCCGCUGCAGUGGAUGGCCACUGAUUGUUUCUGUCCAGAACAACGAGAACAAGAGCACACUGCA
rnacentral:lncRNA from 1 species